AUUUCAGCUCUUGGCCCACAAGCUUUAUUUCACUCCAAGCUCUCUUCUUGCUGCACCAGAUGAUUGCUUCUCCAACGCUGCUGGCAGAAACUUCUCCAGGUACAAGGCGCAGGAUCUUCCUCCUGUCUCCAGCUCGGCAACAUUCCAGCUCCCACCCUAGGGCCUAGAAGCCCACCCCACAGUCAAUGUCCCAGCCCCACAGUGAUUUCAGCCGCAGCGCUACAGUGCCUAUCAAAGACGCAGGCAAAACCCUGGCACUGCCAGUAUUUCAGCUCCCAUGUUAUGGUCCCAUUAUUUUGCCCCUACCCAUCUUGUUCUAUUUCCAAUCACAGGACCCAGCAGCGACACCCGUAUCACAGGCCUGCAGUGAUUCCAGCACACAGAUCCUACAGUGGCAAUCCCUUUAGCAGUCCCUAUCCCAGCCCCACAGUGAUUUCAGCUCUUGGCCCACAAGCUUUAUUUCACUGCAAGCUCUUCUUCCGGCUCCAGAUGCGUGUUUCUUCAGUGCUACUGGCUGAAACUUCUCCAGGUACAAGGCGCAGGAUCUUCCUCCUGUCUCCAGCUCGGCAACAUUUCAGCUCCCACCCUAGGGCCUAGAAGCCCACCCCACAGUCAAUGUCCCCACCCCACUGUGAAUUCAGCACCAGCGCUACAGUGGCUAUCAAAGACGCAGGCAAAAUCUCUAACCCGAACCCAUUUCAGCUCCCGUGUUACAGUCCCAUUAUUUUGCCCCUACCCAUCUUGUUCUAUUUCCAGUCCCAGGACCCAGCCCCAACAUCCAUAUCACAGGCCUACAGUGAUUCCAGCACACAGAUCCUACAUUGGCUAUUACAUUAUCAGUCCCUAUCCCAGCCCACAGUGAUUUCAGCUCUUGCCCUGGAGAGCGCUUUCCCAGCCCCAGUGAUUUCAGCUCUUGGCCCACAAGCUUUAUUUCACAGCAUGCUCUCUUCUUCCAGCUCCAGAUGCGUGUUUCUUCAGUGCUGCUGGCUGAAACUUCUCCAGGUACAAGGCGCAGGAUCUUCCUCCUGUCUCCAGCUCGGCAACAUUCCAGCUCCCACCCUAGGGCCUAGAAGCCCACCCCACAGUCAAUGUCCCAGCCCCACAGUGAAUUCAGCACCAGCGCUACAGUGCCUAUCAAAGACGCAGGCAAAACCCUGGCACUGCCUGCAUUUCAGCUCCCAUGUUAUGGUCCCAUUAUUUUGCCGCUACCCAUCUUGUUCUAUAUCCAAUCACAGGAUCCAGCACCAACAUCCGUAUCACAGGCCUACAGUGAUUCCAGCAGACAGAUCCUACAGUGGCAAUCCCAUUAGCAGUUUCUAUCCCAGCCCCACAGUUAAUUCAGCACCAGCCCCACAGUGGCUAUCAAAGACGCAGACAAAAUCCCUAACCCCAACCCAUUUCAGCUCCCGUGUUACAGUCCCAUUAUUUUGCCCCUACCCAUCUUGUUCUAUUUCCAGUCCCAGGACCCAGCCCCAACAUCCAUAUCCCAGGCCUACAGUGAUUCCAGCACACAGAUCCUACAGUGGCUAUGUCAUUGUCAGUCCCUAUCCCAGCCCCACAGUGAUUUCAGCUCUUGGCCCACAAGCUUUAUUUCACUGCAAGCUCUUCUUCCGGCUCCAGAUGCGUGUUUCUUCAGUGCUGCUGGCUGAAACUUCUCCAGCUCCAGAUGCGUGUUUCUUCAAUGCUGCUGGCUGAAACUUCUCCAGCUCCAGAUGCGUGUUUCUUCAGUGCUGCUGGCUGAAACUUCUCCAGGUACAAGGCGCAGGAUAUUACUCAUGUCUCCAGCUCGGCAACAUUUCAGCUCCCACCCUAGGGCCUAGAAGCCCACCCCACAGUCAAUGUCCCCGCCCCACUGUGAAUUCAGCACCAGCGCUACAGUGGCUAUCAAAGAAGCAGGCAAAACC
rnacentral:lncRNA from 1 species